ensembl:lncRNA
GGGUUGAAAAUAUAUAUAUAACCUAUUGGGAUGGAUUGGAAUGAAACAGACAUUGGGAUGGACAGGGUUGAAAACGUAUAUGAACUAUUGGGAGGGAUUGGAAUGAAACAGACAUUGGGAUGGACAGGGUUGAAAACGUAUAUGAACUAUUGGGACAGAUUGGAAUGAAACGGACAUUGGGAUGGACAGGGUUGAAAAUAUAUAUAUAACCUAUUGGGACGGAUUGGAAUGAAACAGACAUUGGGAUGGACAGGGGUUGAAAACGUAUAUGAACUAUUGGGACGGAUUGGAAUGAAACAGACAUUGGGAUGGACAGGGUUGAAAACGUAUAUGAACUAUUGGGAGGGAUUGGAAUGAAACAGACAUUGGGAUGGACAGGGUUGAAAACGUAUAUGAACUAUUGGGACGGAUUGGAAUGAAAUGGACAUUGGGAUGGACAGGGCUGAAAAUAUAUAUAUAAACUAUUGGGACGGAUUGGAAUGAAACAGACAUUGGGAUGGACAGGGUUGAAAACGUAUAUGAACUAUUGGGAGGGAUUGGAAUGAAACAGACAUUGGGAUGGACAGGGUUGAAAACGUAUAUGAACUAUUGGGACGGAUUGGAAUGAAACAGACAUUGGGAUGGACAGGGUUGAAAAUAUAUAUAUAUAUAACCUAUUGGGACGGAUUGGAAUGAAACGGACAUUGGGAUGGACAGGGUUGAAAACGUAUAUGAACUAUUGGGACGGAUUGGAAUGAAACAGACAUUGGGAUGGACAGGGUUGAAAACGUAUAUGAACUAUUGGGAGGGAUUGGAAUGAAACGGACAUUGCGUGUUGGGACCUUGACAUCUAUACACAUAGCCUGGUGAAUGAGUCUGUUUGUGCUUUAGCCAACUCCUCUCUGUGUUCUAUGUGUUCAUUCAUUUUCAUGCCAAACAUACAGUACAUACAGUAAGGCAUGCCAAUGCUAGAAGAGUUGGCUACAGCACAUACUGUACUGUAUAGGACCAGGCUACUUGACACUCUAAAAGACACACAUUCUGCUUCUGUGACAAACUAACAAACAAAUCACUUUUUCACUUCACUCCAUGAACAUUGUCUGGGAAGCUAACUGCAGUGUGAUGGAACUGAAAUGUAAAGUGUAACUAGAAAUAUUUUCGCAAAUAUAUACUUCAGGAAUAAGGCCUGGGGAUGUGUGGUAUAUGGCCAAUGUAAUAUACCACGACUAAGGGCUGUUCUUAUGCACGACGCAACGUGGAGUGCCUGGAC